UCGGACGUGGUGCACGGCGCACACCUGCUCCCCAUGACGCUCCCAACUGGUUAUCAUGCAGGAACCCUGGGUUCGACCCCCAGCGUCCGAA